AUGAAAGAUCGUUAGAGGUUAAUGAUGUUCCUUGGUAGUAAUAGUAGUGCAGUAUGUCUAUCUAUGUUGUAGCGUAGUCUUAAAUUUGGAUAUUAACAGUUAUUUUAGUAAAUGUUACUAACAUUUAAAGGAGCCAUGUCACUACAUGAGUAUGUAGUGAAGAAAUGUGUAUUUCUUAUAUAGUUUGAAGAGUCUUAUUAUGAGACUACCAGUGUCUUAAUAUGCCUACCAGCAUAUCUUGGGGGCUAUUGUUUACUUUAAGAUUAUACUACUAGUCACAGAGACAGGAAGUUCUUUGUUCUUCUCCACCUAUGUUCUGGGAGAAGCAAAGCCCAGUCAUUCUGAAUGUCGAAGUGAUGCAGUAAGGUCUGAGUUACAUAACAUUGCAGCAGAAAGUUUUUAGUUAUUUUGUGGAACAAACUACAGGCCCAAUUCGAUUGUUAUCUGAAGGUUUACCGGAGAUAGUAAUUAACCUGAAGGUUUUACCGAAGAUAUGAAAGUGAAGUUACGAGUUGCUGAAUAAAACAGAAGUUGGUUGGACUUUA